GGAGGGACGGACCUGCAGGAGCCAGGGCUGCCCGCCGAGCUGCAGUUGCCCCCCCUGCCGCUGUCGCGCCGCCGUCGCUGUCACUGUCAGCCUGGUCUGAAGAGUGACAGCGCCGCAAAAACAGGAGUGAGCACCGAACCCCGCGCCUUUAGGAAACAGGUACAUGCGCCGAAGUCCUGAUCUCAGGUAACCAUUCAUGAGCCUGAGGCUGUAAGAAAUGCUCUCUGUGCAAAGAGGAACUUUCACCAGAUUUUCUGAAGCUGUCCCAGAAAUAUACCUUUCAGAUUGAUUCAGCAUUACCAGCUUAUCCAACAAAAGUAUUAACAUACAUAUUAACAACGUCGAAAGUAGCCUACUUUAAGAGAAAAUAUGCAGAAGAAGAAGAUUUACAUCAAGAUUACCAUGGGUGUUUUCCAAAACACCUGAUAUUACCUGAGGAUAGGACUUGCAUUCUCAAACUUUCUCUGGAGAAGCUCAGGUUUCUUGAAGACCCAGAAACCUACUUAAGAAGGUCUGUGUUAAUUAACAAUUUGCUGAGGAAGAUACAUCUAGAGACGGAGAAAGAGAGCUAUGAAUACUUUAAAGAAGCUCCCUGUUAUAAGACUGCAUAUUCUGAUACAAGAAAACGGCUGAAGUUUAUGGUACAGGAAUGCUGUUCUCAGUCUCUCUAUUACGAAGAGCUGCAUUCAUAUCAUAUUGUGCCUUAUGCUUCGGAGAAUGCCAUUUAUGGAAUGGGCUACACUAGCAGCCACUUGGAGCAAAAUUCUCAGUUGCUUAUUUAUAAAAUGAAUUAAAGUAAUUAUUAAGUCCAUUGAUACUUUGUUUCUAAAUGCCUGAACUGUUUAUAGUGAAGAUGUUAAUAUAAGGCACUACCAGUGCACUUGAUAUCAAAGAUGAGAUGCAUGCUGAACUGAUUGGAGAGAGCCAUGGUUAUUACUCAGCAGUCCUUAGUAUCAUCAAAUUGAACUGAAAAUCUGUUCACAUAUUAUAAAGCGGUGAAUUAGUGCUUUAGAAGCAAAGAUUUUUUUUUUUAAGAUAAGGUAUGUAGUGUAGUAAGGAACCUAGAUCAAGCUGUUAUACAGAUUAAAACUUUUAACCCCCUUGUUUUCAAAUUCUGCCACUCUUAGUGGAAUGUAACAGAGUAACAGAUUAAAUUGAUAAUGUUGUGUCCCUGAGGGUGGGAUGAAUUUAAUUUUCUGUAAAUGACAAGAGGAAGGAUUGGUUCUUUCUGAAAUGCUUUGGCUUGUCAAGCAUGUGCCAAAUAAUUGUUUGACAUCAUUCUCCUUUUACCAUUAGGUGGCAAUUCAAGAUGGGGCAAACAUACACUGCAACUUAACUGCUGAAUGUAACAACCAGAUUACUCCAAACUGAUCCAUUUUACUGUUUUCUUAUUUUUUUAAUUUUAUUUUUUGGGCUUGGUAGACUUUUCUCUUUAAAAGUGAGAUUAAUAAAGUAGCCUGGAAGUUGAGCUUAUCUCUAAGUUGUAGGGGUUGGUUAAAAUUUGUGGUGGGCUUUUAGGUAAGAGUUUAAACUUUAUUUAUGAUGUCUUUUUUAUAGGCUGUGAAGCUCAGGAAAAGGGUAGGCAGGUAAAAUUUGUUUUUAGUGGGUUGAUAAAUUUUAGAAACCUUAUCUUCAAAAAUUGGUGAAAACAACAGAAAUUCUACGUGAUGUUAUUUCUUCAUCUAGCAAAGAAUGCAUUUAAAGCUGCCUGGAUGAAACGUUGCACUGAUUUUUGUAUAAUGGUCGAUCAUUCACUAUUUGACAAAACGUUUCAGAAUGCCUUUAGUGGUGACGCUUAGAUAAGUCCCUAUAUUUUGCAAUUUGAAAGAUAAUUAUUUAACAAGUUGGAUAGAUUAAUGAAAUUGUUUGAAGCAGUUCAUGAUGUUCUUUGAGGUUUGAGUGAGAUGUUUGAUUUUAAUGUCUGGAGUUUUGUCCUAUGGAUCAUAUUGUUUAAAGAAUUGUCAUUAACUGAUAAAACAGAUUGGAAAAACUAGGUGCCAAAGGUAUAUUUAAGAAAAUACCAAAGACUCAAAGAUGAGUGUUAGGAAGACUAGGAUAAUGUAAGUAAGGAUUGUACAGGACAUAGAACAUUGUCAAAGGGGUUCGGAAUGAUUUGCUUACUAAUGUGCUUUUGGGGCACUUUAUACAUAAUAAUGAUAAUCAAGGGUACUGCUUUAAAUGAAGAUAUUAUAAGCCUUUAGCAAUCAUAUCCCUUGGCAAAUUUAAAUAUGGUGACUUGGCAACCUGCAAUCUUCCCUAGUUGAAGGCCAGGCCAACCUGUAACCAAGGAAGGCCUUUCUCUAUUGAAGAUAAUUUUAUUUUUCAUUUUGAUUCAAUACUUCGUCACUCUAAUGAAUCAUCAGGGUGAUUAACAUGAAUGCAUUUGGUAUAAGGAAUAUUGGUGUCCUAAUUAUUAUGCAUUAUUGAAGACCACAUAGAUUUAUAAUUGAUAAACGUGUUAGGCUUAUAUUUAAUUGCUCUACCAAUAUUAGGAAAAAAUGCUUAGAGGAAACUGAAAAAUUAUAAUUGAGGUUAAUUUUAAAAGGCAACUUAGUAUGAAUGGUGAAAUAGCUUUGAAAUGCAGAUAUAAAUAUUUAAAAAUUAAGGGCAAAAUUUGGCACCGAAGUUCAAAAAUUUUAUUUCACUGCUUAUAAAAGGCCUUAUUUCUCAGAACGCUUCUUUUAAAAUAUAGAUUUCUUAAACAAUGAAGAUAUUAAUUGAAAGGCUUCAAAUUUUAUGGGAUAAUUAUACUGUCAUAUAAUUUUAAAAAUAGAAUUAGCUCUCUAAUACUUUUAAAAUUUUUACUGAAAUGAACAUUUGGCUUGGUUUAAAACAGUGUCUGUAAGAAAAAGACAACAGUGUUAAUAGAUGUGACUUAUAAAAAUGCCACAUAUUAAAACUGAUUGAGGAUAGAAACAGAGAAACUUUGGAAUAGAAAUGAGAGGGAGAGAAAAAAUUAUCAAGAAAGCGUGAAAUUGUUAUACUUCUUGUAUGUCAGAAAUCUUAAACAAAGGAAGAGCCCCUGGUCAAUGAAUUUGUAACAGAUGUAAAAGUCUGUUUUAUCUGAUGACAUCGUUAAAUGAGCUCUCUGAUGUAUACGUUCAGGUGUAGAGAAGGAAAUGUCUUUGAAACAGUGGAAUUUGUGAAUAUGCUUUUUUUCUUUUAAAUGUGCUGAUUUCAAAACAGGUUAUUUAAAAAUAUCUUUUAGGGCAUUUAUUUAUUACUUUUUUCCAAUAAAUAACUCAUAGAUAAGGAGUUGA